rnacentral:antisense_RNA from 1 species
AGACAAAAUAUUAGGCACUAGACACAGACAAUUAAAAUUCAUGCUCCUCACAUUAGUUCUAAAUAAUAGUGUGUACUCAGAAUAAAAUACCCAUGUAACGGUGAUUGAGAUGACUCUGGUUCCGCAGAAGUAACUAACCUAAGAUCAGAACUUUUAAAAUGAAACACCUUUUACCAAUAUCAUUCAAAGAUACAUCUUGACGCCCACUUCCUCUCCUUCUCUAGUAUCCCCAAUGAUAAAGUAUCAAGAUCUUGUCAUUGUCCUUUCUCCGUGCAGGUCUGGAAUAUCAAAAUUCAACACACUAAGUCAAAUGCCAACAUCUUCCAAGUCCCACAUACAGGUGCAUUCUCAUACUACUUGUUGAGCCAAUUCAGAUCUUCCCAAACUACACUAAAAAGAUUCCAUUACAUGUGCAGUGAAGAGCUGGUCCAAGCCCUAAUUGAAUCCUUUAUGAGUAAACAUUAAAGUCUUCCUCUGUCAUUACAAAUUUCUGUUCACACUUGAAUCCCAACAGAAAGCUGCCGGAAGCGACUGGCUGGGGUUCCCAUUUCAGUUUUCCUGUUGUGUGCAGGUGUAAGACCAUCGUAUUACAGUGUUAAGAAAUUUUAAUUUUUCCAGCAACAUGCAGCCGACCCGUUCCAAAGAACUCCCUAAACUCCGCGGCUGACAACUAACUCCCUUAACUCACUUCCAACCCCUACAGGGAGUCUGGGAAGAUUAGUCACCUCCUCUAGCCAGGCGGUCCCGCUCCAACACCUCACUCUUACACCCUACACAGGGCAGAUGAGCGUCUCGGCCACCUCCACAAACCAAAUGCCAAUCUGAGGUGUGUGUCACCCUUGAAUUUCCCACAUUCUGAAAGAGACCCUCCUCUUAGUGGAGCUUUCUGCCGUGGGGCUGAGGAGUAGCAGCUCCCAGCGUCCCGUGGAAGGAAACUCCCAGAGAAGAGCAAGCGCUCACGCUCCCACCCAGAGCAGGCUGUGCUGAUUACAACGGCGGGAAAUGCCCGUCCUAAGCUGGUUUCGCCAAAGCCUUUCAAGUAGAGACUCUAGGACCAGUCCGUGACAAGUACGCCGGCCGGCACUGCUCCGGGUCCCAGACCAGCUCGUGCGGGCCAGAGCCGGGGACACGGCUAGGGAGGGAUGGGGGCCCGGCCCGGCCCACUCUCCCACCCUACGCUGAGCCCCCCGUGAGUCAGCAGCCGACGAGGGGACCCGGGGAUUGCCUCAAGUCCUCCCACAAGAGGGAGACCUGGGGGGCUCUGGAGAGCUCCGAGCGGCCUGCGCCCCCGGCCCGGCCCCCCUCACACACACAGUGAGUCAGCAGCACCAGAGCCGGCUAGCCCGGCCCCUCUCCGCUGCCGCCGACCGACAUAAGCCCAGCGGGACCGGCGGGGCCGGGGAGGCGGCGCGGCGACCUUUACCGAUGGAGUGGAGGAUGUCGAUGGAGGCCUCCCGGUCGGUGCUGAGUAGAGACUGGGCUCUCUGGAACUCCACCACCGCCGCCGCCGCCAUCUUACCGCUCUCACACCGUCCCCGGCCGCGGCCGCCGACGCCGGAAACACACACCCGGAAAGCCCGCCCUCGCGUCCCUCCGCCUGUAGCUCCCGCGGCUCCGUUCCCAGAGCACUCCGGGAGUUGUAGUCUCUCCGCCGGGCGCGGGCUGAGGGGUGGGGAGAGCGGGACCGCCUCGCAGGUGGCCUGCAAGCUCCCCAGCGCCUCCUAGCGGGCGGCCGGCGAGGAAAAGAGGCGGUGCCCCGCAGUGGGAGCUCAAGAUCGGUCCCCGCCCACCCCAAAAGAGGCUUCUUGAUUCCGGCCCUGCUCGCGCACCCCUGAGAGGGGUUCCUGAGUACCGGGCUAGGUAUUGAGUCAAAUCUGUGUGGCUUUCUUUGCGGCUUCCACGAUUUAACCAUUCAUUUAGGACGAUAAGUGACCUUAUAAAGUGCUCGCUAUGUGGCAAAGAAUAGCACCAUUCGCAUGCGUUCCAGUGUCUGAUGCCUGGGCGCCGCACACACGCUUUCCAGGCUUGACUCCCGCAGAACGCUGGCCGGCAGGUGGGCAAACCCGCCAGGACCGGAGAAAACUGUCCUCACGCGCCCAUUUAACCUUGGGACAGUGCUGGACGUGAUGAAGUGAAACAUCACCUUUGCUCCAUUCACGCCACAAAUACCUCUUGGGAAUCCACAGAAGCCUCACCCAGCUCCCAGCUCAAAAAAAAAAAGAGACAGAGUUCAUUCUUGUUGCCUGGGCUGGAGUGCAAUGGCAUGAUCUCGGCUCACCUCAACCUCCGCCUCCCAGGUUCAAGCAAUUCUCCUGCUUCAGCCUCCCGAGUAGCUGGGAUCACAGGCGCCCACCACCACACCCGGCUGAUUUUGUAUUUUUAAUAGAGAUGAGGUUACUCCAUGUUGGUCAGGCUGGUCUUAAACUCCCAACCUCAGGUGAUCCACCCGCCUCAGCCCCGCAAAGUGCUGGGAUUACAGGCAUCAGCCACUGCCCGCAGCCCAACAGACAGGGUCCUGGUCUGUCACACAGGCUGGAAUGCAGUGUGUGGUGGUGCGUUCUUGGCUCACUGCAACUUCCAACUCCCAGGUUCAAGCGAUCCUCCCACCUCAGCCUCCCAAGUAGCUGUGACUGCAGGUAUGCACCAUCACACUCAGCUAAUUUUUUUGAUUUAUUUUUUGUUAUAGAGGCUGUUUCUCCCAGUGUUGCCCAAGCUUGCCUCAAAGUCCUGAGCUCAAGCAAUCCUCUCACCUCAGCCUCCCAAAGUGGUAGCAUGAGCCAUCACACCCAGCUGAUCUUUACUUCUUUUUCUUUUUUUUUCUGGGUUCACGCCAUUAACCUGCCUCAG